GCACCAAGGACCAAAGGGGGCUGCCUGAGCCACUCAGAGGUUUCUCAGGGAUGAUGCAUAAGGAAUAUUCAUCUCCAGGCACCAAAGACCUCUGGAAGACAUAACACCCAUUUCCCCGAGGAGACAGAGCUCUACAACAUCUUACCGAGGAAGCAGUGAUAUGUAUUUAGUGAGGUGUUUUGGAUGUCUCUAAGCUUUAAAGCUGAAGUUCUGCAUGGUGGUGAGAACGGAAGAGCAGAGUCUGAACUGCAG